AAAAACAUGUCUUUUUGUUUUUGAUUUAAGGUCUGGCCUGCCCAAUGAUUAUUAUUUAAUGGCUGCAGUAUUUUAACUGUACAAAGGUAGCAUAAUCAUUAGUUUCUUAAUUAGAAGCUGGAAUGAAUGGUUUGAUGAAAAAUUUACUGUCUCAAUUUAAUUGUUUUAGAAUUUUAUUUUUAAGUGAAAAAGCUUAAAUUUUUUAAGAAGACGAGAAGACCCUAUAGAUUUUUACAUGUUUAAAGUUAAUUAUUUUAUGAUUUUAUUGAAUUUAAUUUUUUGAUAUGUUUUGUUGGGGUGAUGGGGAAAUUUUUAUAACUUUUCUUUAUUUUAACACUAAUUAGUGAUUUAAUGAUCCUUUUAAGAUUAUAAGAUUAAAUUACCUUAGGGAUAACAGCGUAAUUUUUUUUGAAAGUUCUUAUUGAUAAAAAAGUUUGCGACCUCGAUGUUGGAUUAAAGUUUAUUAGCGGUGUAGAAGCUGUUAAAUUAGGUCUGUUCGACC
rnacentral:rRNA from 1 species